AUACGGAGGAUGCGAGCGUUAUCCGGAUUUAUUGGGUUUAAAGGGUGCGUAGGCUGUGCGUUAAGUCAGGGGUGAAAUGCCGUCGCUCAACGACGGAGCUGCCCUUGAUACUGGCGUGCUGGAGUACGGAUGCCGUUGGAGGAAUGAGUGGUGUAGCGGUGAAAUGCUUAGAUAUCACUCAGAACACCGAUUGCGAAGGCAUCUGACGAAUCCGUCACGGACGCUGAGGCACGAAAGCGUGGGGAAAGAACAGGAUUAGAUACCCUGGUAUUCCACGCCGUAAACGAUGAUGACUAACCGUCGGCGAUAGACAGCCGGUGGCCAAGCGAAAGCGAUAAGUCAUCCACCUGGGGAGUACGUCGGCAACGAUGAAACUCAAAGGAAUUGACGGGG
rnacentral:rRNA from 1 species